rnacentral:rRNA from 1 species
CCAAUAGCGUAUAUUAAAGUUGCUGCAGUUAAAAAGCUCGUAGUUGAAUUUCGGGACCAAUAUGUCGGUCGUGCCUCGGUACGUACUGGCGUUAUUGGUUUCUCCCUUCUGAAGAACCUUGAUGUCAUUAAUUUGGUGUCUUGGGGAAUCAGGACUGUUACUUUGAAAAAAUUAGAGUGUUUAAAGCAGGCUCGCGCUUGAAUACAUUAGCAUGGACUAAUGAAACAGGACGUUUGAUUCUAUUUUGUUGGUUUCUAGGAUCGACGUAAUGAUUAAGAGGGUUAGUUGGGGGCAUUAGUAUUCAAUUGUCAGAGGUGAAAUUCUUGGAUUUAUUGAAGACUGACUACUGCGAAAGCAUUUGCCAAGGAUGUUUUCAUUAAUCAAGAACGAAAGUUAGGGGAUCGAAGACGAUCAGAUACCGUCGUAGUCUUAACCAUAAACUAUGCCGACUAGGGAUCGGAUGAUGUUAAUUUUUUAAUGACUCAUUCGGCGCCUUACG